rnacentral:rRNA from 1 species
ACUCCUACGGGAGGCAGCAGUGGGGAAUAUUGCACAAUGGGCGCAAGCCUGAUGCAGCCAUGCCGCGUGUAUGAAGAAGGCCUUCGGGUUGUAAAGUACUUUCAGCAGUGAGGAAGGUGGUAGUGUUAAUAGCACUAUCAUUUGUACGUUAGCUGCAGAAGAAGCACCGGCUAACUCCGUGCCAGCAGCCGCGGUAAUACGGAGGGUGCGAGCGUUAAUCGGAAUUACUGGGCGUAAAGCGCAUGCAGGUGGUUUGUUAAGUCAGAUGUGAAAGCCCCGGGGCUCAACCUCGGAAUUGCAUUUGAAACUGGCAGACUAGAGUACUGUAGAGGGGGGUAGAAUUUCAGGUGUAGCGGUGAAAUGCGUAGAGAUCUGAAGGAAUACCGGUGGCGAAGGCGGCCCCCUGGACAGAUACUGACACUCAGAUGCGAAAGCGUGGGGAGCAAACAGGAUUAGAUACCCUGGUAGGAUAGCG